CGGGGAUAUUUUAGGCUCAAACAAACUAACAGAAAGGCUUUUUUAAUUGCACCCCGGGGAUAGGCUAAAACCACAAGCUGGAAAGUGCAUGGAUCACACCAUUAAACGAUUACCUCCUGUUUGGCAACUGAAGUGAC
rnacentral:lncRNA from 1 species